UGCCAGCCGCCGCGGUAAUACGGAGGGGGUUAGCGUUGUUCGGAAUUACUGGGCUUAAAGAGUUCGUAGGUGGUUGAGAAAGUUGGUGGUGAAAUCCCAGAGCUUAACUCUGGAACUGCCAUCAAAACUUUUCAGCUAGAGUUUGAUAGAGGAAAGCAGAAUUUCUAGUGUAGAGGUGAAAUUCGUAGAUAUUAGAAAGAGUACCAAUUGCGAAGGCAGCUUUCUGGAUCAUUACUGACACUGAGGAACGAAAGCGUGGGGAGCGAACAGGAUUAGAUA
rnacentral:rRNA from 1 species